rnacentral:rRNA from 1 species
GACGAACGCUGGCGGCGUGCUUAACACAUGCAGGUCGAACGGUGAAAGGGAGCUUGCUCCCUGGAUCAGUGGCGAACGGGUGAGUAACACGUGGGCAACCUGCCCCAGACUUCGGGAUAACGCUUCGAAAGAGGUGCUAAUACCGGAUACGAACUCCUUGGGCAUCCUUGGAGUUGGAAAGUUUUUCGGUCUGGGAUGGGCCCGCGGCCUAUCAGCUUGUUGGUGAGGUAACGGCUCACCAAGGCGACGACGGGUAGCCGGCCUGAGAGGGCGACCGGCCACACUGGGACUGAGACACGGCCCAGACUCCUACGGGAGGCAGCAGUGGGGAAGAUUGCGCAAUGGGCGAAAGCCUGACGCAGCAACGCCGCGUGAGGGAUGACGGCCUUCGGGUUGUAAACCUCUUUCAGCAGGGAAGAAGCGAAAGUGACGGUACCUGCAGAAGAAGCACCGGCUAACUACGUGCCAGCCGCCGCCGUAACAC